rnacentral:rRNA from 1 species
GGACCCGCACAAGCAGCGGAGCAUGUGGUUUAAUUCGAAGCAACGCGAAGAACCUUACCAGGGCUUGACAUCCUUCUGACCGGUCGUUAAACCGACCUUCUUUUCGAAGCAGAAGUGACAGGUGGUGCAUGGUUGUCGUCAGCUCGUGUCGUGAGAUGUUGGGUUAAGUCCCGCAACGAGCGCAACCCUUGUCAUUAGUUGCCAUCAAGUUAAGUUGGGCACUCUAGUGAGACUGCCGGUGAUAAACCGGAGGAAGGUGGGGAUGACGUCAAAUCAUCAUGCCCCUUAUGUUCUGGGCUACACACGUGCUACAAUGGCUGGUACAAAAGGAAGCAAUACCGCGAGGUGGAGCCAAUCAAAGAAAACCAGUCCCAGUUCGGAUUGUAGGCUGCAAUUCGCCUACAUGAAGUCGGAGUUGCUAGUAAUCGUGAAUCAGAAUGUCA